rnacentral:lncRNA from 1 species
AUGCCCCGCAGGGUGUCUGUCUGUCUCUCCGGACACUUCCCCGGACACUUUGUGGUCCAGAGGAGUCUCUUGUCCAAGUGCCGCGGUCAGUGUGUUUGCUUCCCUCCGAGGCACCAGCCACGCUCCGCCUGGCAUUCGCAGCUGCUCCACCUCUCUGGGUGGCUCCCGGUCCCACCCAGACCUGCAAGUUGGUCUCCUGUCAGUGUUUUCUGUGCCCUCCUACCACUGCUAUUUAGCAAUUCACAUUCCUGUUUAAGACCCAGCUCAGGGGCCCGGGACCCAGCCUGGCCCAGGGCUGGCGGACUCCAUGAUGCCAAGGCCAUGAGGAACAAGUGCAGGAGAGGGUGGGAGAGUGGAGUGGAGUCAGGGGGCAGAAUGAGGAACAGCAGGAGGGAAGAACAGCCCCCGGGGGACCGAGCCACUAUCACAUCUUCCCCUCACCCCUGCAGGUGCAGGGCUCCUCUGGGUGUGGGAUGCCCUUGGCCUACCAUUCCCACCAGGGAGCCCCCAAAAGCCAUGUCCCACCUAUGUCUCUGCCCCCUCCCCCUGAACCUCAGAGCUCUCAGCUGCCAUGCCUUAUGGCUUGCACAGCAUAUCACCCGGUUCAGCCAGUUCUUACAUUCCUGGGCCUCCUCCCCACCGGCUCUGUAUCCUGAAGACACCCCUCUCCAUUGGAACCAUGUGAUAAGAAACACAAGCUACUUCCCCAGGCUCAACCCCGGGUGCCUUGAAUCUGUUAUUUCAUUUGCUCCCUCUAAUAAUCUCAUGAAGAAAGAGAGCCUUGCCCCCAUUUUACAGAUGAAAAAACUAAGGCUCAUAAAGGUUAAAGCACAUCCCCAAGUUUCCACAGGUGGGACCCAAACCCAGCUCUCUGCACAGUGCUCCUCUUCACAAGCUGCCUUAUCUGGGAUCCCCUGUAGUAACCAGAAGGAGCUGGUAUCUGGACAGCUACCUCCUGCAGGGACACGCCAGGGCAGGCUCAAGCCCUGGGGGGCUGCAUUGCGAAGCUUGUACCACAGACUCCCUCCAGUCCCCUCCAGGACCUUCCACCUCCCCCGCUCCCCUGCCAGGGGGCUCUGGUUCUGGAAGGAGCUGCCGCUUUCCCAAUCCCUUCCUCUCCCUUCUCCAGGGCGCUGGAUCCAUUUGCUCACAGCACACACAGCUCCCUGCCUGGAGGGGAAGUUUCCUCUCUCCCGAGGGGCCACCAGGCAGGGAGCUGCAGAAGGGGCGCCUUUGGGGGCCGUCUGA